ensembl:misc_RNA 7SK 7SK RNA
GGAUGUGAGGAAAUCUGGCUGCGACAUCUGUCACCCCACUGAUGGCCAGGGUUGAUUCCCCUGAUCUGGCUGGCUCCGCGAAUGUCCCCUUCCUCUGGCCUUCCCCAAAAAGAGACAGACCAGUCUUCCGUUGAGGGUAUAGGAGUAGCUGCGCUCCCUGCUAGAACCUCCAAACAAGCUCUCAAGGAAAUGUAUUCUCUCACCAUACCCAAAACUGAUUAGCCUAAAUGAAACAGACACUAAACUGGAUCACCUGAGGGCUACCCAAGUUU